GACAUAUGAUGCAUCAAGUGUUGGUUCGUACUAACUAGUUACAAGUUAGGGCGCCACGAUAUCUUUAAUGGUGACGGUGUUAUUGUAUGAAUACAAGUGUAUUCAUCGCCGUUGAAUUGCGUAUUAACAGAAGGAAGGAUACUUUUAAAAAAUUGUUCUUUUUUUCUUAUUAAGCAAACAGCGUAAAAAUGGUACAAUGUAUAGUAAAAUGAAUUAAUGGCAUGUGUGUACAUAUGUACAGAGAGAAGCAAAGACGCAGAAUGCAAGUGCAGAAAAGGGAAUAUUAUAUCGCUGUAUUAUUACUAUGCGAAUAAGCAUAUAAGCUAAUAUAUGCACUUGCUAGAAUUAAAUAAUACUAAUAAUAUUAUUUUGUUAAGGGUUAUAUGUUUCAUAAGAAAAUUUUCGAAGUUUUAAAAUCUGGUUUAAACUUAUAGUUUUUAUAUAUUUUGCAAUAAUUUCAGAUAUAUCUGAUAUAAAAAAAA
rnacentral:lncRNA from 1 species